rnacentral:rRNA from 1 species
CACGUAGGUGGCGAGCGUUGUCCGGAUUUACUGGGCGUAAAGGGCGUGCAGGCGGUUUGUUAAGUGCAGGGUGAAAGCUCCCGGCUCAACUGGGAGAGGUCCUUGCAUACUGGCGAACUCGAGGGAGGCAGAGGAAAGUGGAAUUCCCGGUGUAGUGGUGAUAUGCGUAGAUAUCUGGAGGAACACCGGUGGCGAAGGCGGGUCUCUGGGCCGAUACUGACGCUGAGGAGCGAAAGCGUGGGGAGCGAACAGG